CUACGGGCCGCACCAGUCGAGAAUCUUCGGCAAUGGACGCAAGUCUGACCGAGCGACGCCGCGUGCGGGAUGAAGGCCUUCGGGUUGUAAACCGCUGUCAGUUGGGAGGAAAUUCUUGGGGGUUCUCCCCCUUGAUUGACCUAUCUUCAGAGGAAGUGCGGGCUAAGUUCGUGCCAGCAGCCGCGGUAAGACGAACCGCACAAACGUUAUUCGGAAUCACUGGGCUUAAAGGGUGCGUAGGCGGUCAUGCAAGUUGGGUGUGAAAUCCCUCGGCUCAACCGAGGAACGGCGCUCAAAACUGCAUGACUUGAGGGGGAUAGAGGUGAGCGGAACUUAGGGUGGAGCGGUGAAAUGCGUUGAUAUCCUAAGGAACACCAGUUGCGAAAGCGGCUCACUGGGUCUCUUCUGACGCUGAGGCACGAAAGCUAGGGGAGCGAAGAGGAUUAGAUACCCGUGUAGUC
rnacentral:rRNA from 1 species